rnacentral:rRNA from 1 species
GCAUAUCAAUAAGCGGAGGAAAAGAAACCAACAGGGAUUGCCUCAGUAACGGCGAGUGAAGCGGCAAAAGCUCAAAUUUGAAAUCUGGAGCCUUCGGCUUCCGAGUUGUAAUUUGAAGAGGGUGUUUCGGUUGCAGCCUUGGCCUAAGUUCCUUGGAACAGGACGUCAUGGAGGGUGAGAAUCCCGUACAUGGCUGAAGGCUUGCUUCCAUGUGAAACCCCUUCGAAGAGUCGAGUUGUUUGGGAAUGCAGCUCAAAAUGGGUGGUAAAUUUCAUCUAAAGCUAAAUAUUGGCGGGAGACCGAUAGCGCACAAGUAGAGUGAUCGAAAGAUGAAAAGCACUUUGAAAAGAGAGUUAAACAGUACGUGAAAUUGUUGAAAGGGAAGCGCUUGCAAUCAGACUCGCUUUCGGUUGAUCAGCGACGCCUUCUGGCGCGUGCACUCUGCCGUUUGCGGGCCAGCAUCAGUUGGAGCGGUGGGACAAAGACGGCAGGAAUGUGGCUCCCCUCGGGGAGUGUUAUAGCCUGUCGUGCCAUGCCACCAGCACCGACUGAGGUCCGCGGUUCGCCUAGGAUGCUGGCUUAAUGGUUGUAAGCGACCCGUCUUGAAACACGGACCAAGGAGUCUAACAUCUAUGCGAGUCUUUGGGUGUCAAACCCAUAGGCGUAAUGAAAGUGAACGGAGGUGGGAGUUUCGACGCACCAUCGACCGAUCCUGAUGUUCUCGGAUGGAUUUGAGUAGGAGCAUAGCUGUUGGGACCCGAAAGAUGGUGAACUAUGCCUGAAUAGGGUGAAGCCAGAGGAAACUCUGGUGGAGGCUCGCAGCGGUUCUGACGUGCAAAUCGAUCGUCAAAUUUGGGUAUAGGGGCGAAAGACUAAUCGAACCAUCUAGUAGCUGGUUCCUGCGA